rnacentral:rRNA from 1 species
UACGGAGGGGGCUAGCGUUGUUCGGAAUUACUGGGCGUAAAGCGCACGUAGGCGGCUUUGCAAGUCAGAGGUGAAAGCCCAGGGCUCAACCCUGGAAUUGCCUUUGAGACUGCAUCGCUAGAAUUGUGGAGAGGUAAGUGGAAUUCCGAGUGUAGAGGUGAAAUUCGUAGAUAUUCGGAAGAACACCAGUGGCGAAGGCGACUUACUGGACACAUAUUGACGCUGAGGUGCGAAAGCGUGGGGAGCAAACAGG